UGAGAGCAACACCUUGUAGUGUGGUCGCUUUUGCAGUCCUCUCCUUUUUAUACAACUUUUGUAUUCUUCUUGUGACGGUGCAUCUUCAGGGAAUCUCAUACCUGCCGUCGUUGUUGCGAUUCUCAGACCGAUGUCCUCCACCACCCUAAUG